AUUGAACGCUGGCGGCAGGCCUAACACAUGCAAGUCGAGCGAGCGGCGGACGGGUGAGUAAUGUAUGGGGAUCUGCCUGAUGGAGGGGGAUAACUACUGGAAACUGUUGCUAAUACCGCAUACCAUCGGAUGUGCCCAUAUGGGAUUAGCUAGUAGGUGGGGUAAAGGCUCACCUAGGCGACGAUCUCUAGCUGGUCUGAGAGGAUGAUCAGCCACACUGGGACUGAGACACGGUCCAGACUCCUACGGGAGGCAGCAGUGGGGAAUAUUGCACAAUGGGCGCAAGCCUGAUGCAGCCAUGCCGCGUGUGUGAAGAAGGCCUUCGGGUUGUAAAGCACUUUCAGCGGGGAGGCGUUACUCGCAGAAGAAGCACCGGCUAACUCCGUGCCAGCAGCCGCGGUAAUAC
rnacentral:rRNA from 1 species